rnacentral:tRNA from 1 species
AUCUUUCUAGUACAACUGUUAGUAUAAGUGACUUCCAAUCACCCGGCCUUGGUUAGAAUCCAAGGAAAGAUA